GGAUGUGAGGGUGAUCUGGCUGCGAUGUCUAUCACCCCAUUGAUCUCCAGGGUUGAUUCAGCUGAUCUGGCUGGGUAGGUGGGUGUCCCUUUCCUCCCUCACCACUCCAUGUGUGUCCCUUUUGAAGCUUCAUGCUCAGUCGAAGAGGACGGCCAUCCCUGAUAGAAGAGGACCCUUCUUUGGUCAAGGGUAUAUGAGUGGCUGCACUCCUCUGCUAGAACCUUUAAACAAGCUCUCAAAAGUAGUACAGAACCAGGCGUACCAGCAUACUUCUAAAAUCCCAGCUACCUAGAAGGCAGAAGCAGGAAGAUGG
rnacentral:snRNA from 1 species